GAUCGCAGGCUGCAACCCGCCUGCGUGAAGUCGGAAUCGCUAGUAAUCGCGGAUCAGCAUGCCGCGGUGAAUACGUUCCCGGGCCUUGUACACACCGCCCGUCACACCAUGAGAGUCGGGAACACCCGAAGUCCAUAGCCUAACCGCAAGGAGGGCGCGGCCGAAGGUGGGUUCGAUAAUUGGGGUGAAGUCGUAACAAGGUAAC
rnacentral:rRNA from 1 species